rnacentral:misc_RNA from 1 species
AUUUUUUUUUUUUUUUUGAAAUGGAUACUUUAAUUUUAGGGAGAGUAUAAAAAGAUACCUUGAGGUUUUGCACAGAUUCUUUGGGGCUUGUGGUUCCUUUUUGACAAAAUGGUACCUUGAGCUUUACUUCGUUAGCAUUUUAAUGACAAAUGCUCUAACAUUGAUAAUUUUGCUGACUUGGAAGUACAAACCCAAUAAAUAAUAUUUUUUAAAAGAUGUCUAAUAUGAAAAUCAUAAAAAAUUGAAUUUAUAAUUUUUAGUGAAAAGAAAAAGUUUUAUUUUAUUUUAACUAUCAUAUGUUAUCUUGUCAUCAUAAGUAAUGACAUUAGAGCAUUUGUUCUUAAAGUGCAAAUGGAGAAAAGUUCAAAGUACCAUUUUGUCAAAAAUGGUAUCAUGAGAUCUUUUCUAAGUGCCAAAGAGCGAAAUUUCAAGAUAUAUAUAUAUAUUGUACUUUAAUUUUAUUUUUGGGAUGGUUUAAUCUAAGCUCUUUAUUGAUGUUUCAGGAACCAU